rnacentral:rRNA from 1 species
AAGGGUUUAUGACCAGACUUUGGCCUUGCGGAUCAUCCAGUGUUCUCACUGGUGCACUUCGCUUGGUUGAGGCCAGCAUCGAUUUCUUCAGCGGGACAAAGACUUGGGGAAUGUGACUCCUCCGGGAGUGUUAUAGCCCCUUGUGUAAUACCGCUGGAGGGAUCGAGGUCCGCGCUCUGCAAGGAUGCUGGCAUAAUGGUCAUCAGCCA